rnacentral:rRNA from 1 species
AACGAACGCUGGCGGCAUGCCUAACACAUGCAAGUCGAACGAGACCUUCGGGUCUAGUGGCGCACGGGUGCGUAACGCGUGGGAAUCUGCCCUUGGGUUCGGAAUAACAGUUAGAAAUGACUGCUAAUACCGGAUGAUGACUUCGGUCCAAAGAUUUAUCGCCCAGGGAUGAGCCCGCGUCGGAUUAGCUAGUUGGCGGGGUAAAAGCCUACCAAGGCGACGAUCCGUAGCUGGUCUGAGAGGAUGAUCAGCCACACUGGGACUGAGACACGGCCCAGACUCCUACGGGAGGCAGCAGUGGGGAAUAUUGGACAAUGGGCGAAAGCCUGAUCCAGCAAUGCCGCGUGAGUGAUGAAGGCCCUAGGGUUGUAAAGCUCUUUUACCCGGGAAGAUAAUGACUGUACCGGGAGAAUAAGCCCCGGCUAACUCCGUGCCAGCCGCCGCAGUAACAC